ACUUCGUCUUUGUGUUUGAUGUGCAUCUACUACGCGUAGCUAAUCUUUCGACUGCAUGAUGCCAUAUAUAGGUGUUCUGUGAUGAUACUUUAUAGCCAGGUUCCUCACGAGCUUUUGUGAUGCAUUGCAGGGACCGCCACACCGGCCAGCCAGUGCUACAGUGUCCUAAUGCAGAGAACGUAUAUUACACGGAACUGCGCUCCUUCAGAGUUAUUUAGAGUCUUCGUCAGAAGCGCGUAACAGUAACAUUACUUGGUUACGGUGCUGCUACAUGGCAGAAUAUUUGAAUGGCAGAUGUCCCGAGUGCGGCAUGUAAGUACGUACGUACGCGCGCUUGUUUAGCCUAAAUAAGAGUUUCUAUUGUUCCCCAAUGGAAAUGCACAUUCCUGAUGCAUGGUUCAGAUCUGCCGGCUAAGGGCGGUAGUGAAUAAAGUCACCAAAUUGCGGCCUCGUUGCGGUCUCGCAUUGCGGCCUCAUUGCACGGUCGGGAAAAAUUGCUUUAGAACCAAAAUUUCGCUGCGCUGUCAGUAGCCAUUCACCGAUAAGCUUUCUCCGCAGCGUAAUGCUCAGUGCAGAUGUGAUGGGGGUUGUGUGUGCGGUCGGUAUGUGACCGAUAUUCCUGAACGCAGUGUCAUUCAGCGAUGUGCACAGCUGUGGCUGAUUGUAGAAUGUGGGCUGUGACAGGAGUGAUGGGGACAAUGCUCCUGCCUCGGCCAAGGUUGCAGCGAUUUCAGAGCUGCAGGGAGCGCCCAGGCAGAACCUAAUCUCGGCCCUAUGCUGCAGCUCCAGCUUCUUGAGACGGGCACGUGGUAGUGCCACGAGUGGGAGGACGUACCGCAGGCGUGAGGUGGCUACUGCAUGGUACAGCCGCAGAGCCCACCUAGUGGUGCAGCUCUGUCCUCGGGCAACAAGCUGGGAGACUGCCUUGUGGACCCGGAGGACCUGGACAUGCAGGGUCUUGACAGCAGGCAGCCAGGUCAGCCGGUGAUGAACGUGUAGCCCCGGGUACGUCACUGCCGGGCUUCAAGGUUGCCUUCCAGUUGCAGCUGUGCAGCGGGCGGUUGCUCUUGGGUGGAGCAGCAUGGCCUCCGUCUUCCUUGCCGAGAUGGCAAGGCCAAUGCAGCUCAGUCUGCAGGACAGCAGGCAGUCGGGCCAGGUUGAACAGGAAAGGGCUCACCACUGAUCCUUGUGGGACGCCCUCUACCAAAUAGGUCCAGGGCCUGCUGAACGACUGGAUAGGGCAGGCCGUCAAAGGCCCCCUUCAUGCCGAUAAGCACCAGGAGCACGGCGUCACCGCAGGCCUUGGCCUCUUUCAGCGUGGAGACCACGUCCACGAUGGAGUCCGCACUGCAUCAGCUCCGCAGGAAGCCUAUCUGCUCAUCGGCCAGAAAGCAAUGGCCUCCAUCAGCUUGCAAGCAGCAGAGGUGGCCAAAGAACGUAAUCGGAAGAGGUGACGAGACGAAUGCAUUCUUCGUGGUUAGGAAGAGAAUUGCCAGUGGCAUCAUCCAGUUGUGUGAGGCGCUGACGACAAGAGAUAGAAGCAAACGCCAAAGAUAAGAAGUCCCACCCCAAGAUGAGUUCAUGGGUCACUCACGAAAUACCGCAAAAACAAUGUGGUGAAGAAUUUAGUCUAUGGACACACGAACAGGACACGGUGCGAUUGGACGAAUAAUAACCUUGGCCGCUGCACAAAGAGAAAGGCCGGAGUAAGGCAAUUCUUGUGUUUUAUAGAGUCCCAAACAGUCACAUGGCAAUAAUCGCCAAGCGUCUUGUAACAUGGAGCCACCUCAGAAUUGCGCCAAACAAAGAUGAUGGAUGCAGCCAGUCUUGCCAGAUAACUACAUUUUGACUAUUCUGUAUUGUUUGCAUUUUUUGUGUAAAAGGAAUUGUCGCAGAGAGUUUUAUCUUCAGUGGCCUUCAGUUGACGUCAUCUGCUACAACUAGCACAUAAGUUAACUCCAUAGCACCACUAGGAUGGAGACAUUGUGUCGUGGGGUGCUUCCUUAAAAGUGGACAAGAAGAUUCUAAAGGAAAAGUGUGAGAUGGUCACAGUAAUAACCAAGGCAUUUGGCAUGGGAAUGACCCAGCUAUGAAAGUAUUAUCAGAUGUGGACAAGCAUAUAAUACUAAAUGGCGCCUUGCACGAGUCCCAAGUGUCAAAUGUAAUGAGUAUUGUGCAUUGAAAGGGCCAAAAAUGUUUUGUACAUGCAAGGGAACACUAUGGGCAUUUGAUAACAGUUGCUUAGAUGUACUACAUUAACAGGAACCAAACGAACUCCCUUAGACAUAAGCAUGCAGCAAAUUCAAGGACUAGAUGAAGCUUCAAAGAAGUAACUGCAUUUCAUGUAGGAUAGGUGUGAAUGACCUUUGUGCACGAGAUCAGUGACAAAAACACUAAAUGAAUGCAGUACAGUGUCUGUAUCAUAUCUUGUGCAGACCAAACUAGCCUGGAGUUUCAGCGUUCCUUGUCAGUUCAUUUAAAUAGGCACUACAUUGUUCAAAGUGCAAUAUUGUUCUACAAAACAUAAUAUGCAAGAUGUAGCAUGCUAACCCUCGUGGCUCAACAACUACUGAACCGAAACCUCAAUGAGCAGUGAAGCUUCCUUGUAAUUUUCAUCGUAACCAUACUUUCGCUCUUGAAAGUGAACCUCUUUAGUGAAUUUGCUUGUGUAUUAAUUUUUCUUUAGGCAAGUAUUUUUUAUACAUGUUAAUGUCUCAAUCCUGCUUUUUCUUUCCGGGGCUAAAACAAAAUGCCUCUUAUUUCACUUUGAUCUUUUGACCUAGGAAGCCAUCAUCUGGUGCUGUGUACAGCAAGCACAUGCUUCGGGCAAGGAGGGAGCCAGCACCAUAUCUACAUCAGCAAGAACCUCGGUGCUCAAAAUAAACAUUUUCUGUGCAAA